GAUGAACGCUGGCGGCGUGCCUAAUACAUGCAAGUCGAGCGAACAGACGAGGAGCUUGCUCCUCUGACGUUAGCGGCGGACGGGUGAGUAACACGUGGAUAACCUACCUAUAAGACUGGGAUAAUUUCGGGAAACCGGAGCUAAUACCGGAUAAUAUAUUGAACCGCAUGGUUCAAUAGUGAAUGACGGUUUUUCUGUCACUUAUAGAUGGAUCCGCGCCGCAUUAGCUAGUUGGUAAGGUAACGGCUUACCAAGGCAACGAUGCGUAGCCGACCUGAGAGGGGGAUCGGCCACACUGGAACUGAGACACGGUCCAGACUCCUACGGGAGGCAGCAGUAGGGAAUCUUCCGCAAUGGGCGAAAGCCUGACGGAGCAACGCCGCGUGAGUGAUGAAGGUCUUCGGAUCGUAAAACUCUGUUAUUGGGGAAGAACAAAUGUGUAAGUAACUAUGCACGUCUUGACGGUACCUAAUCAGAAAGCCACGGCUAACUACGUG
rnacentral:rRNA from 1 species